ensembl:snoRNA LOC120093049 small nucleolar RNA SNORA19
GAGCAUACAUAAAUGACUUUUAAGAACCAAUGAGGUUUGACUGUGUGAGCAGUGUUAUUUCUUAUGUGCUAUACUAAUAGUUGAAGGUUCAUUAGCAGAGUAACUGCAUAUAGUAAUUCUGCCAGUCCCCUUCAGACAAAA